rnacentral:lncRNA from 1 species
CAGCCUCCUGAGUAGCUGGGACUACAAGUGCGUGCCACCACGUCUGGGUAAUUUUUUGUGUUUUUAGUAGAGAGGGGGUUUCACCGUGUUAGCCAGGAUGGUCUUGAUCUCCUGACCUCGUGAUUCCCCACCCUUCUUGCAGCCCCCUGUGCACUCACUAAUCUAUUGAAUUAUGCUCGAAAGGUAUUGUUCUGGAAACGUGUAGAAAUAAAUUCAACAUUCAAGACUUCACAAGUAACAGUGGGGGAAAGGAAAUAACAAGGCACAAGGACAUCUCGCAGCAAGCCCUAAAACACUGACCAUCUUCUUCAAAUGUUUACAACAUUGAAGUGUACGUGAUGUUGCCAUGGGUGUCACUUCUUCCAGCCUCAAGAAGGGAAUGGCCUACAGGACAUGAAGAAUUGGCAGUAUUUGAAAGGCUGACACUGGUAUUGGAUGGAAGUUUAGAGCUCUUUGAAUUCAAACAUUCAUUUGGAUGUCUUAUGGCAUCUCAAACUGAACAUGGCCCAUGCAUAAACUAGGAAGAAAAUCAAGGAUGCAAUUACUCUAAAAAUCAGGGCAGUGGUUACCUCUAUGGGAUACCUGUGAUCAGGAGGAACAAUGAGGGUGAGUGAUUUCCAGGGUUUUAUUUCUUGACCUGGGUAGUGGUUAGAUGCAUGCAAUGCAUUAGAGUAAUUCAUUAAACUUGGCCUGGCAUGUGUGGUGGCUCACGGCUGUAAUCCCAGCACUUUGGGAGGCCAAGGUGGGAGGACCACUUGAGCCUAGGAGUUCGAGACCAGCCUGGGCAAAAUAGGGAGACCCCAUCUGUACAAAAAAUAAAUAUGUUGUAUUUGUAUAUACAUUAUUUCCAUUGCUCUGUUGGCUUCUAUAUUUGCAUAUUUUAAUACUUGCUUCUUUCUGUGAACUUUGUCACAGUAAGCAACAAUAAAAAGGUCUGUUCGUCCACAUAAGCCUGGUCUUUUGCCAUUCUUCACCAUUUCAGUGAUUGGCACCACCAUUCCCCCAAGUGACUAAGGUCUAAAACCUGGGACUCCCUUCUCCUUCCUUUCCCUAACCCUGCCUCUGAUGAAAUGGAUUCCUCCAUUCAUCCCUUGUUCCCAAAGCUCU